AGGCAUUAACUCUUUCAAUGUAUUCACGGUGUUUAAGGGUGGGGCCUCCCUUGUCCAGGAUUGUGAGAGUGCUUGGUCAUUGGCUUCAGGGCCAUCUUUCAGGGUGGGGCCUGUGGAACUCUACGUGUUCAUUCACUGACCAUAGCUUUUCCCCUGUUUUAUUCUAGGCCGCUGGAAAUGUGACCAUCUCUGACCAGGAAGUUGCUUGAGCAGACUACUGUACAGACCAUCUGAUGCAAGAUGAUCGUGCAGUGAGCACCCAGUGUGCUCUCACCUUCUCUUGCCCCCUGGAGUACAAGCCCAGCCUGGAGGUGAUGUCCUGGAGCUGCCCUAGGGAGCAAAGAUUCCAGGUUACGCUGGAACCCGUGAGGACUUCUGGGCAUCUGCCCCAUCGGUCUUCAGGAAGCUUAUUGUGGGUCAGAUUAUGGCACUAGGCAGUGCCCUGAAUGUCAUGGGAUCAUUCCAACUUCAGCAGGGCAGUCCCCCAAACUGGGUACCUGAGCCUGACCAACUCUUUGGAGAUCAAUAUGUUCAGAGCUGCAAUGCACCAUGGGGACUCGGAGAGAAAGUGCUUGGUGGGGACUUCAUGCUUCUCAUGAGGACUUUUCAGGAUGAAUGAGGGGAAUCAAGAAGGUUGCACACAGAAGCAGAGCAUGAAAAACAGUACAAGGAAAGAGGUCUUUGGUGAGAUAAUUUCCCUGUUUUGGCAGAUGAUGAGAAAAUUAAGGCACAGGUUCUCAGGCUCCUGUGGAACUGCAGCAGAGUUUUAUUGAUGCUUUCUCUAAUAAAAAGUAGAGAUGUUCAAAUAAUCAUCAAAUAAUUUAUAUCAGGAGCUUCAUGAUAUUUUUCAAAUACAUUUGACAAAUAAUUUGUUUGUACCCUUUGCCCGGCAGACAGACAGACAUAGAUACUAUGAGCCUUAUUUAUUAUUGUCCUGCAUCUCUUGUAGUUGUUCCCAGCAGUGCAAAGUGGGUCUAUAAGGCUACCCUUCUGACCUGAUAGCAUUUUAUACCCACUUUAUUCUGGUGUAAAUGACUGUGCAACGUUCAGGGCAAUGGAAAAUUAUACAACCCUUAGUGUUAAUGUAUAUAUACACACAUACAUCUAAGAUAAA